rnacentral:rRNA from 1 species
GACGAACGCUGGCGGCGUGCUUAACACAUGCAAGUCGAACGGAAAGGCCCUGCUGUUGUGGGGUGCUCGAGUGGCGAAAGGGGGAGUAACACGUGAGUAACCUGCCCUUGACUUUGGGAUAACUUCAGGAAACUGGGGCUAAUACCGGAUAGGAGCUCCUGCUGCAUGGUGGGGGUUGGAAAGUUUCGGCGGUUGGGGAUGGACUCGCGGCUUAUCAGCUUGUUGGUGGGGUAGUGGCUUACCAAGGCUUUGACGGGUAGCCGGCCUGAGAGGGUGACCGGCCACAUUGGGACUGAGAUACGGCCCAGACUCCUACGGGAGGCAGCAGUGGGGAAUAUUGCACAAUGGGCGGAAGCCUGAUGCAGCAACGCCGCGUGCGGGAUGACGGCCUUCGGGUUGUAAACCGCUUUCGCCUGUGACGAAGCGUGAGUGACGGUAAUGGGUAAAGAAGCACCGGCUAACUACGUG